rnacentral:lncRNA from 1 species
UUUUUUUUGAAACAUAUUUAUAGGGAAGUUACUUUUAGUUUUUUUUUCUUCUUUAAAUAAAGGGCUAAUUGGCGAAAUAGCUAAGUCUGGGAGAGAAAUUCAGUAUAUAAACAUGAUUUUGACAUAAUUAAAUGGGUAACAAUUGUCUCUCACCUCAUUCGGUUCUACCCUCCACGCUUACAAGUCUUCGGUGAAAGAAAGAGAAAUAGAUGACGUUUUGCAAAUUAAAUAGAUGACGAUGUGAUAGAGAGAGAGAUGACGUGUAUUCCAUAUACUUUUGAUAGAGAGAGAGAGAUGACGAUGUGAUAGAGAGAUAGAAGCCACGUCCUC